UCAUAACUACAAACUUUAAAGAGAAAUGACAUUUCUCUCAUACUUCAGAAGUAGCCAGGGAUGAAUGAGGUCUAUCCUCAUGGACUACAGAUCCAAGUUCCUGGCGUUCCAAACAAUCAGUGCUGGUGCAAGAGGUACUUGUUUAACUUUGAAGAGUUUUAAGGAAAGAUCCAUGUAUUUUUUUUCUUCUACUAUAAGAAACACCAUAUGGUCAUGUAGAAAAUGAACUUUGAAGUGUGUUCCUGAGGGUUUCGAGGAAAGAACAUAGAGCAACCAACAAUGAUGUACAGUGACCUAUGACAUCUCAUUCAAUUACAAACCCCCCUGCGCUCCACACUAAUGGAGAUCCAGCUGCUGGGAGCGAUGGGAGCAGAGGUGACGUUCGUGGGAUCAAUGCAACCCUAGAUUCUCUUGCCACCAGCCCUGUCUCCUGGGGAGCCAUUGAGAUAGUGGAAUCAGAAGUGGAAGAGAGGAUGAAAUGGUAUUGGCAUGCCUUCAUUCCCUCAGACAUUAGCCAGCGGCGGCUUUCUUUUGUCCAUUUCCUGCUCACCUUCAUUGUCUGUUUGGCAGGUCCCAUUUGUUUUGCCUUCUCGUAUUUGUUUCCCUUCCCCCGGUUUCCAGAUCAUUCUAACCUGAUUGGCUCCCCAUCCUCUCUUCUUUUAGUCCUUCAUUUUGCUAUAUUCCUGCUUCUUGCCUUGUUUUUAUUUUUUAUUAUGAACUACAAACAUACAGGAAAAAAAAUCAUUGAGAAUAAGGAAUGUAACAAACACCCACUUACAUAUCAUGGAACUUUAACAAAUGUUAACAAAGCAAACUUCCUUGCUUUGGAUCUUUUCUUAAGGAAAUAAAAAUUCUAUCAUCUAUCUAUCUAUCCAUUCAUCCAUCAACAUAGUUAAAGCCUGCUGUGAUUUACACCUCCUUUAUAACAUAACAAUCUCUUCUCCAGAUGUUAGCACUAUCUUGAGCGCUAACAUUGUAACUCUUAUGCAUGUUUUCAUGCUAAUAGAAUCACUACAUAUAUACUACAUACAAA
rnacentral:lncRNA from 1 species